rnacentral:rRNA from 1 species
UACGUAGGGUGCAAGCGUUGUCCGGAAUUAUUGGGCGUAAAGAGCUCGUAGGUGGCCAACUAAGUCAGACGUGAAAUCCCUCAGCUUAACUGGGGAACUGCGUCUGAUACUGGAUGGCUUGGAUUUGGGAGAGGGAUGCGGAAUUCCAGGUGUAGCGGUGAAAUGCGUAGAUAUCUGGAGGAACACCGGUGGCGAAGGCGGCAUCCUGGACCAAUAUUGACGCUGAGGAGCGAAAGCCAGGGGAGCAAACGGG